rnacentral:rRNA from 1 species
UACGUAGGGUGCAAGCGUUAAUCGGAAUUACUGGGCGUAAAGCGUGCGCAGGCGGUUUGUUAAGCCAGAUGUGAAAGCCCCGGGCUCAACCUGGGAACUGCGUUUGGUACUGGCAAGCUAGAGUACGGCAGAGGGGGGUGGAAUUCCACGUGUAGCAGUGAAAUGCGUAGAGAUGUGGAGGAACACCGAUGGCGAAGGCAGCCCCCUGGGCCGAUACUGACGCUCAGGCACGAAAGCGUGGGGAGCAAAUAGG